UUUUUUUAAAAAAAUGAAUUUCUGUUUUUUAUUGUUUAAUAGUAUUAUAAAAAAUAAGUUUUGAUAAACUAGUCAACUUCUUACCACACAAGGAAAAGAAAACAUUGUCUUGAGAUUUUCGUAGUGUCCAACAUAAGCAUUCGAUACAUACAAGUAAAUGUUCAGAAAUAAAACACAAGAAACCUCCCCCUCCUCGUCAACACACGAUCCCAAGCAAUGCACCACUCUUGCACUCCUUUCCUUAGCCAGUCCCUCAAAUAUAUCUGUAACAAAAUAGUUGUGGUGAUAAAAACAAAAUCAACAUUGGCAUUAGCAUCGAAGAACCGAAUUAAAUAAGCACAUAAUUUUUAGUUUAAUUUUUGGCCCAUUAAUUAAUCCCACCACCAAUCACUAAUGAAACAGUCCAAAAUGCCACACACACACACACACACACACACACAAAAAAAAAACUAGUUCAUUGAAUAGUAUAAAUAAAAUGGGAACAAAAUCCCCGCACCAGUUCUAAAUAGACCUCAUACUCUUAACUAUACUUACAAUUUGGACCUGCCUAUGGAAGUAAAUGGAAUUCUACUAGAAAUAUCGUAUUUGGUUAUAAUUUUAUUAUAUAAUUUAUGUUUAUGGAAGAUUCUCCAUCCAUAUCUGAUUUCUAAGUGAAUAAAGCAUGGAUGAUCUAAAAAAGGUACACAAACUAUAGAAAAAAGAGACAAACCUGGGCGGUGAUCUAAACAUCCUUGACAACAAGAUCACCGUUGACAAGCUCUCUGUAGGCAGCAACAGGCCAAGAAAAACCUCUAAAGAUCAAACCAGUAGCCAAAGGCACGUCAAUAAUGAUCUCCUUC
rnacentral:lncRNA from 1 species